rnacentral:rRNA from 1 species
AUUUAGUUGGGCUACUCUAGAGAGACUGCCGGUGAUAAACCGGAGGAAGUGGGGACGACGUCAAGUCCUCAUGGCCUUUAUGCCUAGGGCUACACACGUGCUACAAUGGAUCGUACAAAGGGUCGCGAACCCGCGAGGGGGAGCCAAUCCCAAAAAGCCAUUCGUAGUCCGGAUCGCAGUCUGCAACUCGACUGCGUGAAGUCGGAAUCGCUAGUAAUCGUGGAUCAGAAUGUCACGGUGAAUACGUUCCCGGGUCUU